UCAGAAUACUCACCAAGAAGAUUUUCUA
rnacentral:piRNA from 1 species